AGAAUUUAGUUUAAAUUAAAACCUUAAUUUGUCAAAUUAAAAUUACUCCAUUAGUAUUUCUUUA
rnacentral:tRNA from 1 species